GACGAACGCUGGCGGCGCGCCUAACACAUGCAAGUCGAACGAGCGAGAGAGAGCUUGCUUUCUUGAGCGAGUGGCGAACGGGUGAGUAACGCGUGAGGAACCUGCCUCAAAGAGGGGGACAACAGUUGGAAAUGACUGCUAAUACCGCAUAAGCCCACGGCUCGGCAUCGAGCAGAGGGAAAAGGAGCAAUCCGCUUUGAGAUGGCCUCGCGUCCGAUUAGCUAGUUGGUGAGGUAACGGCCCACCAAGGCGACGAUCGGUAGCCGGACUGAGAGGUUGAACGGCCACAUUGGGACUGAGACACGGCCCAGACUCCUACGGGAGGCAGCAGUGGGGAAUAUUGCACAAUGGGGGAAACCCUGAUGCAGCGACGCCGCGUGGAGGAAGAAGGUCUUCGGAUUGUAAACUCCUGUUGUUGAGGAAGAUAAUGACGGUACUCAACAAGGAAGUGACAGCUAACUACGUGCCAGCAGCCGCGGUAAAACGUAGGUCACAAGCGUUGUCCGGAAUUACUGGGUGUAAAGGGAGCGCAGGCGGGAAGACAAGUUGGAAGUGAAAUCCAUGGGCUCAACCCAUGAACUGCUUUCAAAACUGUUUUUCUUGAGUAGUGCAGAGGUAGGCGGAAUUCCCGGUGUAGCGGUGGAAUGCGUAGAUAUCGGGAGGAACACCAGUGGCGAAGGCGGCCUACUGGGCACCAACUGACGCUGAGGCUCGAAAGUGUGGGUAGCAAACAGGAUUAGAUACCCUGGUAGUCCACACUGUAAACGAUGAUUACUAGGUGUUGGAGGAAUGACCCCUUCAGUGCCGCAGUUAACACAAUAAGUAAUCCACCUGGGGAGUACGACCGCAAGGUUGAAACUCAAAGGAAUUGACGGGGGCCCGCACAAGCAGUGGAGUAUGUGGUUUAAUUCGACGCAACGCGAAGAACCUUACCAAGUCUUGACAUCCUGCGACGCACAUAGAAAUAUGUGUUUCCUUCGGGACGCAGAGACAGGUGGUGCAUGGUUGUCGUCAGCUCGUGUCGUGAGAUGUUGGGUUAAGUCCCGCAACGAGCGCAACCCUUAUGGUCAGUUACUACGCAAGAGGACUCUGGCCAGACUGCCGUUGACAAAACGGAGGAAGGUGGGGAUGACGUCAAAUCAUCAUGCCCUCUAUGACUUGGGCUACACACGUACUACAAUGGCGUUAAACAAAGAGAAGCAAGACCGCGAGGUGGAGCAAAACUCAGAAACAACGUCCCAGUUCGGACUGCAGGCUGCAACUCGCCUGCACGAAGUCGGAAUUGCUAGUAAUCGCAGAUCAGCAUGCUGCGGUGAAUAAGUUCCCGGGCCUUGUACA
rnacentral:rRNA from 1 species